rnacentral:lncRNA from 1 species
UUUUUUCCUUUUUAUUAUUCCUUAAUUUUUGAAUUGCUCCUAACAAUAAAUGGGACCCUGGGUUAAAUAAGUCUGAACAGUCUCUGCCCACCGGCUCUGUCCACCAAUCGAUGCAGGUGUUGUGAAAGCUCCUCAUGUCCCAGCCUGCAGCCACACAGACAGACACAAGUUUUGGUCCAAGCAGCACUGGAUUCCCUCAUACCUCCUGGAGCUGCAUGGCUGCCUGUGUCACUGAAUAAAUAAAGGCACCUGUGUAUUUAUCUGACCACAGACUCAGCACACUGUCCUGGUCUGCAAAGAUCAUCCGAUCCAAUCGACCUGCUGCCCUACAUUUAACCGCCGAGGAGCGUGAUGUGGCCCGGGAGCAGAGCCGUUUACCUGCACUUGCAGAUACCAGAGGAGAAAAUCAAGAUGAAGAAGAAUUACCUCCAUCACCCCUCCAUCCCACCCAUCUCUGCCUUCAUCCUUCAGAUAAUCACAGAAGGAGGCCCCUUCCACUCCCCCACCACGUCAGCCUUCCUCAUCCCCCCAGUUACUCAGACCUCAGUGACACUCAGCGAUGAAGGUGUGAGGCUCUCCAUCUGUCAUGGCUGCUGCUCCCACAGUUUGUCCUCGCUUGUAGAGACAGAGGGGAAGAGGAGGGAGAAACAGGAUGGAGAGGUCUCCAGAUAAAAGAGGACUCUUUGUGAACAAAGCAAACAGUUUGACAGAGCUUUGGACACCUGCAGAGGACCGAACAACUCGAUAAAGCCGGGGCUAUCUGCCGCCAGGAGGGACCAUCGGUUUAACAGAGAGACGAGGAAGCACCAUGAAAAAUCUCACUUGGUCAGUUAAUGAUCACAUGCACAUGUCAUGACCAACAUUUAAGCCUCUGAAUGCUUCUGAAACGUCCAUCUUGUUGCAGAGAUACCAUACAAUUUUCAUGCACUUCUUUUGAUGCGUACUUUGAAAAGGCAGCUGAUAAAAGAAGCUUCAUAAUCUCCUUGGAUGACAAUAACAACCCCUGUGUAAAUGAUAUUUACAUCCACAUUAAGAGCAUGUGCUGCCAGAGAUGGUGCGAUAACUUCUCCGGCUGCGAUGUUGCCAUGGGAACAUGACUCAUCACAGGUCUUCCUGCUUUACCUGUGGCAGCUGCACAGUACUCAUGAAAGCUAUUUCAUGCUCCUUUUGUUUGCUAACCAGCAGUGCUGAGCCUCACUUUUCAAUAACAUCAUAUCAGAUGUCUGGGAAAACACAAUGAAACACAGGUGCUAAAAAGGCUUUUGUUGCGACUUGAUUUUUUCCUUCCCUCACAGUUGGUAUAUUUAUGUGAACUUAAGGGCAUGAGUUUGAGCCUGAACACUGAGAAGCUGUAAUCGAACCAACAUCAGUCAGAGGAUCACAUAAGGCCAUGAGGGUGGAAAAACACACCAGAAGAGAGAGAGAGCUGUGUUUCACUUGUAUGUACCAACUCUUUGAAGACCUGUUAAGCCAUUAUGAUGCAUAUUUCAUAAAUUAUUAUUAUUAUUUCCCCUUCAUCAUCAUGAAUUAGUGAUGCAAGUUUCUUUUCAGGUGCAGCAGUGAACAUUUUAUAAUUUAGUACCAUAUAAUGGUGGGAAUAGGAGUGAAUGGUCCAUGACCGACUUUAAUGAAUUGGAUAACUUACAGCAAUUCAUUAACAAGUGUACAUUAUCAUAAUUAAAUUAUUCCCGCUGAAUUAAUGUGCAAAAUGUAAACUGUUUUUAUUAGAAUAGAAAUUAUGCAGUUGUUUACACCUACUGAGUUAAAAAUACACUUGAUAACUCUGUUGAGUAAAUAAAGAGAAGGAAAAAUAUAUUUAUCUGAGAUAUUUUAUUUGAAUUAAUAUGCAGAUGAAUUCAAUGUUUAUUGAACAAAAUGAAUGUCGGAGGUUUGGUUGUCACUUACAGAUGUGUAAAAACAAACAGCAUGGAGGAGAUAUAAGAGGAAGACAAAAUGAUAAUAAUUAUUCCUCAAAAUGAAAUGAGCUCAUCAGGUAUUUAAUCCAAUUUCCAUUUCCAUUACCAAACGUGCAAAGUACACAACACACUCUAUAAAGAGCAGCAGCUGUCAUAUUUAGAAAAUAAACACACACAUGGCAUAUGUGUGA